UACGUAGGGUGCGAGCGUUAAUCGGAAUUACUGGGCGUAAAGCGUGCGCAGGCGGUUUUGUAAGACAGGCGUGAAAUCCCCGGGCUUAACCCGGGAACUGCGUUUGUGACUGCAAGGCUAGAGUGUGGCAGAGGGGGGUAGAAUUCCGCGUGUAGCAGUGAAAUGCGUAGAUAUGCGGAGGAAUACCGAUGGCGAAGGCAGCCCCCUGGGUCAACACUGACGCUCAUGCACGAAAGCGUGGGGAGCAAACAGG
rnacentral:rRNA from 1 species